rnacentral:rRNA from 1 species
UACGGAGGGUGCAAGCGUUAUCCGGAUUCACUGGGUUUAAAGGGUGCGUAGGCGGGUAUAUAAGUCAGUGGUGAAAGCUCCGGGCUUAACUUGGAAACUGCCAUUGAUACUGUAUAUCUUGAAUGUCGUAGAGGUUAGCGGAAUGUUGCAUGUAGCGGUGAAAUGCUUAGAUAUGUUACAGAACACCAAUUGCGAAGGCAGCUAACUAUGUGAUGAUUGACGCUGAGGCACGAAAGCGUGGGGAGCAAACAGG